rnacentral:rRNA from 1 species
GAUGAACGCUGGCGGCGUGCCUAAUACAUGCAAGUCGAGCGGCAGCACGGUCUUCGGACUGGUGGCGAGCGGCGGACGGCUGAGUAACGCGUAGGAAUAUACCCCAAAGUGAGGGAUAACUGCCCGAAAGGGUGGCUAAUACCGCAUGUGGUCUUCGGACUAAAGCCUUCGGGCGCUUUGGGAAUAGCCUGCGUAAGAUUAGCUAGUUGGUGAGGUAAUGGCUCACCAAGGCGACGAUCUUUAGCUGGUCCGAGAGGAUGACCAGCCAGACUGGAACUGAGACACGGUCCAGACUCCUACGGGAGGCAGCAGUAGGGAAUUUUCCACAAUGGGCGAAAGCCUGAUGGAGCAACGCCGCGUGCAGGAUGAAGGCCCUCGGGUCGUAAACUGCUUUUAUGUGCGAAGAAUAUGACGGUAACACAUGAAUAAGGGUCGGCUAACUACGUGCCAGCAGCCGCGGUAAU